AUUGAACGCUGGCGGCAGGCUUAACACAUGCAAGUCGAGCGAGCGGCGGACGGGUGAGUAAUGUCUGGGAAACUGCCUGAUGGAGGGGGAUAACUACUGGAAACGGUAGCUAAUACCGCAUACCAUCAGAUGUGCCCAGAUGGGAUUAGCUAGUAGGUGGGGUAAGGGCUCACCUAGGCGACGAUCCCUAGCGGGUCUGAGAGGAUGACCAGCAACAGUGGAAUGGAUAUACGGUCCAGACGACUACGGGAGGCAGAAGUGGGGAAUAUGGCACACUGGGCGCAAGCCUGAUGCAGCCAGGCCGCGUGUAUGAAGAAGGCCGUAGGGUUGUAAAGCACUUGAAGCGAGGAGGCGUUACUCGCAGAAGAAGCACCGGCUAACGCCGUGCCAGCAGCCGCGGUAAUUC
rnacentral:rRNA from 1 species